rnacentral:rRNA from 1 species
UACGUAGGUGGCAAGCGUUGUCCGGAUUUACUGGGCGUAAAGAGCGCGCAGGCGGUCGUUCAAGUCGCGUGUGAAAGCCCCCGGCUCAACUGGGGAGGGUCACGCGAUACUGAUCGACUCGAAGGCAGGAGAGGGUAGUGGAAUUCCCGGUGUAGUGGUGAAAUGCGUAGAUAUCGGGAGGAACACCAGUGGCGAAGGCGCUCUGCUGGACCAUAACUGACACUCAGGGACGAAAGCUAGGGGAGCGAAUGGG